GGUCUUGUAUUCAUAAAUGAUGUUAGAAUGCAAUUCUAAAGGUGUAAAGUAUUACUAAGACUU
rnacentral:tRNA from 1 species